rnacentral:rRNA from 1 species
UACGUAGGGGGCAAGCGUUGUCCGGAUUUAUUGGGCGUAAAGCGCUCGCAGGCGGCUCGAUGCGUCGUGCGUGAAACACCCCGGCUCAACUGGGGAGGGUCGUGCGAUACGGUCGGGCUUCGAGGCCAGUAGGGGGAUGCGGAAUUCCGGGUGUAGUGGUGGAAUGCGUAGAGAUCCGGAGGAACACCAGCGGCGAAGGCGGCAUCCUGGACUGGUACUGACGCUCAGGAGCGAAAGCGUGGG